CCUACGGGAGGCAGCAGUGAGGAAUAUUGGUCAAUGGCCGGAAGGCUGAACCAGCCAAGUCGCGUGAGGGAAUAAGGCCCUAUGGGUCGUAAACCUCUUUUGUCAGGGAGCAAAGGCGUCCACGUGUGGACGAGAGGAGAGUACCUGAAGAAAAAGCAUCGGCUAACUCCGUGCCAGCAGCCGCGGUAAUACGGAGGAUGCGAGCGUUAUCCGGAUUUAUUGGGUUUAAAGGGUGCGUAGGCGGGCUGUUAAGUCAGCGGUCAAAUGUCGGGGCUCAACCCCGGCCUGCCGUUGAAACUGGCGGCCUCGAGUGGGCGAGAAGUAUGCGGAAUGCGUGGUGUAGCGGUGAAAUGCAUAGAUAUCACGCAGAACUCCGAUUGCGAAGGCAGCAUACCGGCGCCCGACUGACGCUGAGGCACGAAAGCGUGGGUAUCGAACAGGAUUAGAUACCCGAGUAGUC
rnacentral:rRNA from 1 species